rnacentral:rRNA from 1 species
AGUUUGAUCCGUGGCUCAGGACGAACGCUGGCGGCGUGCCUAACACAUGCAAGUCGAGCGGGGACAUACGACGGACAGGAAGUUUUCGGAUGGAAUGGAAGAUGUAUGUUCUAGCGGCGGACGGGUGAGUAACGCGUGAGCAACCUGUCCCUUACAGGGGGAUAACACAGCGAAAGCUGUACUAAUACCGCAUAAGACCACAGAGAGACAUCUCACAGGGGUCAAAGGAGCAAUCCGGUAAGGGGUGGGCUCGCGUCCGAUUAGAUAGUUGGUGAGGUAACGGCCCACCAAGUCAACGAUCGGUAGCCGACCUGAGAGGGUGAUCGGCCACAUUGGGACUGAGACACGGCCCAAACUCCUACGGGAGGCAGCAGUGGGGAAUAUUGGGCAAUGGGCGAAAGCCUGACCCAGCAACGCCGCGUGAAGGAUGAAGGUCUUCGGAUUGUAAACUUCUUUGAUUGGGGAAGAAUAAAUGACCUACCCAAAGAACAAGCCACGGCUAACUACGUGCC